rnacentral:rRNA from 1 species
AACGCGAAGAACCUUACCUGGGCUCGAAAUGCAGUGGAAGUCGGAUGAAAGUCCGGUGCCCGCAAGGGCCGCUGUAUAGGUGCUGCAUGGCUGUCGUCAGCUCGUGUCGUGAGAUGUUGGGUUAAGUCCCGCAACGAGCGCAACCCUUAUCCUUAGUUGCCAUGCCGAAAGGCGGCACUCUAAAGAGACAGCCGGCCACAAGCCGGAGGAAGGUGGGGAUGACGUCAAGUCCUCAUGGCCUUUAUGUCCAGGGCUACACACGUGCUACAAUGGGCGGUACAAAGCGUCGCAAACCCGCGAGGGGGAGCCAAUCGCAAAAAACCGCUCUCAGUUCGGAUUGCAGUCUGCAACUCGACUGCAUGAAGCUGGAAUCGCUAGUAAUCGCGGAUCAGCACGCCGCGGUGAAUACGUUCCCGGGCCUUGUA